AGGAUGGGAUUCAGAUGGGAAAAGUUGACGAAGUUGGGAGAGAAGUCUGCUACAGCUUCAUUGACAAUUUUAUAAAUAAACACACAUUUUGUUGAUUUCAUACCGUAGUGAACAGCAAGUCUAUUUUCAGGUUUUGAAAGUUGAAAAUAUCCAACAUAUCGCUGGAGUCACAUGAAAGAGUUAAAGAGAACAUAUUUUAAAAGUGAAUAUUUCGUCCAAGUCACACACCACCAAGACAGAUUUAGAUUGUAAAUAUGAUGGGACGCAAAAGAAUAUUCUUCGUGUUUUGCAAGAAAAAUUGACAAGCUUCCAAAGAGCAGCCAUAUUGGAAACAAAACACUUGUUUUUAUCGUUCAAUAUUAUUGAAAGAAAUUAUUUACUGUACAUGUUGUUUAAACAAUAUCAUCAGUUUUCUUCCACUUAAUGUCUACAAGAAAAAAUAUAUAAGGGUAGAACUUUUAUUCAGCAUUUAAGAAACUAUUUAAUUUUUUUAAUACGCACCACAACAUGAUGGUGUAUUUCUGAGCGAUGUAAACACGGCAGUUAUGUUAGAAGCUACAGUACUGAACUAUAUAUGUAUGAGUAAAACUGAAGUAUUUGUUUAGUAAAUGCACGACUCAAAAUGGCGGAGGUUUCUGGAAAUUUUAGAAAUGUAGAUUAUACAGAUAUCAGAAUUAGGGAGCAUGAAUUGUACUAUUCCAUUUUCUCAUGCUCAAGCUUUGCUGGAAGCUUUCAUCCAACACUUAUCAUGGAGGAAAAUCCAAGUGAUCAGAAUUCAAGAUGGGUAUCUGAAACGCACGUACCACCACAAUUCAUUACUUUGAAACUUGAGAAACCAUCUGCCGUAACAAAA